rnacentral:ribozyme from 13 species
UUUCUUUUUUUUCUUCUUCUUCUUCGUCUUCUUUUACUUCUUCCUCUCCCCAUUCUUCCCAAUUUUUGCUCAAUUUGAAAACCCAAAUCGAAAAGAGUAUGAUUGACCAUGUAGCGACUC